GUCUAUGGCCAUGCCGUCCUGAACAAGCCUGAUGUCUGACUUCAGAAGCUAAGCAGGGUCGGGCUUGGUUAGCACUUGGAUGGGAGACCACCUAGGAAGACCAUGUGCUGUAGACA
rnacentral:rRNA from 1 species